UCCACGCGUUUUCAACCUACUUGGAUAAGACGUUUUCUCUAAAUAUACCAAAUCGUUUUACAAAUAUACUUUCCGACCAAUUCUUUAGAUCACUCUCUUGCCAAAAACCACCGAAUACAGUACGGACAUCCACCAAUAGUACCGUUCUUCCGUUAUUUUUUAAUAUCUAACAUUUUUCGGUGUUUAAAUUUUUGGCGGGUUUUGUGCAGUGUCGCUUUAACCAUGCAAUGGAAAGAGCUGAAGUUGUAGAAUUUAUACUGCGGUUUUUGCUUGUUUGAAAAGUGUUCGACGGAAAAACUAUUAUAAAUUAAAAAGUGUUUUUUUGGAAUUAUUUUUGAAAAAUCGGACGUAGAAUUUAGAACAACAUGGCGACUGUGAUAAGUUCAAAUCAAAGUAUGGUGUCACAGGCCUACGACUAUUAUGUAUGGACUCUAUCUUUAUCAGAUUCAAGAACAAAAGGAUGGCUUUUAGUAGAUUCCCCAGUUCCAACCCUAUUGUUCAUUUGUUUAUAUUUCUUCAUAGUAUGGAUAGGACCAAAAAUGAUGGAAAAUCGAAGACCUUAUAAGCUAUCUUGGCUACUAGUACCUUAUAAUUUAUAUAUGGCAGGACUAAACUUUUAUAUAGCUUCUAGGCUAUUUACUGCUUCAUUCCGCUUGAAAUAUAAUUACUUCUGUGAACCUUGCAGACAGAAAUACACAGCUGAUGAAAUGCAGAUUGCAGAUGCAGUUUGGUGGUACUAUUUUUCUAAACUUUUAGAAUUCUGUGAUACUCUUUUCUUUAUAUUAAGAAAAAAGAACAAUCAACUGUCGUUCUUACAUGUGUACCAUCAUUCUACUAUGUUCGCCUUUUGGUGGAUUGGAAUUAAAUGGGUGCCCAGUGGUUCUACCUUCUUACCUGCCAUGGUCAAUUCUGGAAUACAUGUUUUGAUGUAUGCUUACUACGGACUCUCAGUAUUUGGUCCCAAAGUUGCUCAAUAUUUAUGGUGGAAGAAAUAUUUAACGAUACUUCAACUGAUUCAAUUUACUUGUGCCUUGAUCCUGGGUGCAAACGGAAUAAGAAUGGGUUGUGAAUUCCCCUUAUGGAUGCACUACACACUCAUUGGGUAUAUGAUAUCAUUUAUAGUACUCUUCGGAAACUUCUACGUUAAGGCUUAUUUGGAACGGGGCAACCAAGUAUUCUAUGGAAUGGACUUUGGAUGUGGCCAGGGAAACAGCAAUUAUUCCAAACAAUAUACAGUGCAAUCUCACAACGGAGUUCAAAACGAAGUAGAAAAGAAACACAAUUAAAACUUUUGAUUCUAAAUAUGCUAGAAUUUUAAAAAGAGUAAAUAAAUCCAGAUCUUCCUCAUAAUAGACCAUUUCCCAUAAUGGGUCGUUUUUGUAUAUAGAUAAGGAAUGUACGAUAUAGUUGUAGUAUGAUAAGAAUGAUACAGAUUUAUAGAGUAUAUUAACAAGUUAUAAUUUAUGCAUUACAAUAAACGAUACUGUCUUAAGGGGACUUUUACUUUUUAAAUUAGAAAAAAAUUUAGACAAUGUUAAAUAUUAAAAAAAAUAUUAUAUUUAUGGUUAUAAUUUUUUAACAAAUUGUUAAGAAGGUUAUGACGUACACAAAAAAAAUGUUGGCACUUUUAGUUUUUUUUAUCACUGCAAAUUGCGUCUUUGAAAAACUGCAUAUUAAUUUGAUAGACACUUUUCUGCCUUCCUGUAACAAUUUUUUUCUAAAUUCCAGCGGGAUUGAAUUCCUGAGAUUGUUAAAGUAAAUAUUAUAUUUUUACGGCCUUAAUAGGCAAUUUUAUAAAUAAUAAGAAAAAAAGUCUGUUCUGGAAGUGAAUUUACCCUGUACUAAAGGUGGGAUUUUUUAAAACUUUUUGGGGGUUUAUUUUUAGUAGUCGUAUAAUUAUAGAAACUUUCAGAAAUAUUUUGGUUUACUGAGAUUGGUGUAGUAUAUUUUGAGAAAAACGUCUCCCAGUUUUGAAAAUUGUGAUUUCUUAUUGAAAUUUUAUCGAAUAAAAUGGUCAAAUUUAUUUUUUCCUCUAAUCAGCGAUUCCUGGUGCUUUAUAAUUCUGCAAAAUUUUGAUGUUUCGCUGUUCCUUCUGUUGACUUGAGCAAUACCAGCUGCGUCAAUAUUUUUCGACCAACUCAUUUCUAUUUUCCCUAAUUUUUACUCCCAUAAGGUGCAUGCAACGCAUCCCUAGAUUUUAAUUCUUUAUCGAUGGUUAAUUCAAAAUUGUUCUCUGCAUUAAACUGAUUACUUUUAAAUUGUGUUUUAAUAUUAGGCUUAUUUCGAAGCUUCCCCUUAUUUCUAAUGCCUUUUAAAUAACCAAUUGCUAAAGGUAUUUUUUUUUUCGAUUUUAUAUUAUAAAACACUCGCUUUAUAAGUUUUAGAACACAACUGUCGAGUUGCAGCUGCAUAGAUCAGGCAUCUCGCGCGUUGUUAAAUACCAACGAGUUUUAGCUCAGGUGGGUACUGUUAUAAAUAUAGCUAUAACUUUGUUUGUAUUUCGAACUUUUAAUGAAACACACUCGCUUUAUAAGUUUUAGAACACAACUGUCGAGUUGCAGCUGCAUAGAUCAGGCAUCUAGCGCGUUGUUAAAUACCAACGAGUUUUAGCUCAGGUGGGUACUGUUAUAAAUAUAGCUAUAACUUUGUUUGUAUUUCGAACUUUUAAUGAAAUUUUAGAACAGUAAACUUUUAGAUUAGAUUAGAUUUUUUUAAAUCUAAAUUAAAUUUUUAAUUAAAUUAGAUUUAGUAAAUUAGAUUUUUUUUUAAAUUUACAAAGUAUGUUUCCUUAGCUAAGCGACAACAUUCCAAUUUAUGUUGCUUCAAUUUAUUGAUAUCGUUGAUAGUUGGAAUAUAACUAAUUGCCAACUUUUUCCUUACAUAUAACUAGUCAACCUUGCCCUCUUUUAAAUUUACUGUAACACUAUACCUAUGCAGAUUGUAUCGUAUCCAUUAGUGGUUUAAUAAUUAUUUUUGCUGUCGAUCUAUACCUACCUAUAUACGAAAAGAUAUUCUCUUCACCUCGUUUUUCAAGCCAGUUCUGUCUGAAGAGCUAAAAAUAGAGAAACAUCUGUCACAGAAUGGCAAGUUAGACGAGGUGUAUAUUAUUUACAAAUUAUUUAUAUAUAAUUAUUAACAAAUUUCUCUUCAUGUAGUAGCUUAACAGUAAUUAAUGGAUUCAAUAUCAAAUUAAAAACCAAAAUCAAAAUCUUGGAGACGACUUAUUAAAAACAAUGGGAAAUGGUCUUAAAGUUUUUAUAGGAACGAAUAUCAAAACUUUGUGUUGUGGAAACUGGUCGUACACUUUUUUCAAAAAAAGUUUCGCCACGAGUUUCUUCGACUAGUGAUCAUCAAAUAGGGUACGUUGGUGUGACGUCAAACUGUCAUUUUUUCGAGGUUAGGUUCAGCUUGAUUCUACAUAAACUGGAAAUCAGAUGAAUCAAAGUAGUUUUAAUAAGAAGGGUUGAAUUCUUAUAUUAUAAUUGACCAGUUAUUUUAAAGUACUGCUUUUCAGUUUGUAUAGAUACAGUAGUUAGGUAAAUACUUAAAGCAAAAUGACAGAAUGACGUUAGUAUUAAUAUGGCAUAUACCAACUUAGAAUGCUAGUUAUUCAAUCGAUACAUAAAAAGUGACCUUGUUAAGGGUAGCUAUUUUAUUAGAAUUUCUGAAGCUCGUAGGUCAAAAAUUAUACGUUUACUGAUGAUAUCAAAUUUGUAUAAAGCUUUUAAAACAGUAAACAAUUUGUUUCCUUUCGGUGGGUAUCUGAUAUAUAUCUAGUUAACAUGACAGAAAAAAGAAUACGUUAUAUAUGAGUAUUUAUCAGUUUAAAUUACAUUAGAAAUUGUUUUUUUGUGUAUCCGGAGCACUAAAAAUUCCAUACUUUUUAAAAUUACUUUCAAUUACGAAACUUAAAAAAAAAAACCAAAUAAAAAAAUAUAAUGUUGUCUUUCAGCAUCCUCAAAUAGAUUUUUACGAUUUCUUAAAAUUGCAUAUAAGGUUAAUUUUAAUUACUCUUUUGCUAAAAACUUGAUAUUUUUCCCUUUAAAUAAUUUAUAUCCUUAAUCUACGAUAACUAAUUCCAUUAUGUGAUAAGUAUAUGACAUUAGAGACUUUACUUAGCUCUAUAAAAAUAAAGACGCAAAGUGUACAACGAACUGUAAAUUUAGAAUAGAACAUACCAUACGAAAACGAAUAUAAAAAAUUCCCUCUCCUUCUCUAUCUCACUCUCUCUCUCUCCCUCUCUCCUUUACCCCUUCUCUCCCUCUCUCCCUCCUUCUUUCUCCCCCUCUCCCUCUUUCUCUCUCUUUCUCUCUCUCUCUUUCUCUCUUUCUCUCUCUCUUUCUCUUUUUAUCUCUCUCUAUCUCUUUCUUGUCCUUCCGAUUUUAUAAUCUAAUGUAUAUCAUUGUUAUUCGCUCUGAGCUUUGCUGGUAUCGCCAACUAGCGGAUUACUAAUGCAACUUCGGCUGGAAAUUUAAUGAGAAAAGUAUUGCGAAUAAUAGCAAAUAACUAUUGUAUAUUAUAUGAUUUUAAUUAAUUAAAAUGUAAUUAAACUAAUGCUGAAAUAUUAGUUUACUCACAAUCGGUUAGUAAUUUAUGGAUUUCAAACCUUUGAAGUAAUCAGGAAGCGACUUAUUACUUACUUUACUUUCCCAGCUAGCCGGGAAAGUACUUUCCCGGCUAGCAUCUGUCACUUUUCUACCUGCAAAUGUCAAUGUCAUUUUUGAUUAAAAAAUGGUUUAGAAAGAAUAUAAUCCACUCAACAUUUGUUUAAUUAAGAAAAAACAACAACAACAACAAAAAGAAAACUAUUUGGAAUUAUAAAUAUUAAUAGUUACAUUGGAAUUAUGAUUACUAUUAAAGGUUAAAGUAAGACCGUGUUGCUCAAAAUUAUGAGUUUCAGAAAUAGAUGAUGACAAUAAAUGUCAGAUUCAACAAACUUGUUUUGUUACCUAGCAACGAUCUCACAGGUUACUUAAAAUAAUUCAUCUUAUCACAUAAUGAAAAUGGAUACAGAUAUUUGAAACGAAAUUCUUAUUGGUAGAAUGUGAGUAUUAGAAAUCCAUAAAAUACUAACCGAUUGUGAGUAAAAUAGUAUACAAACCUCGCGGGAACUCAUUCUAGCCUCGCGUCUGUAGUUUACCUCGGUGCUUCGCACCUCGGUAAACUACCUUGCCGCUCGGCUGAAAUAGAGUACUUUCCCGCUAGGUAUGUAUUAUACUAUUACUUCUUUCCUGCUUCAGAUAGUUUCGCAAUUAUAGAUUCGCAAUAGAUUUAUUAUACCCAUUAUAAAAUUUAAAAAACCAAAUUUCAGUAUUUAAAACGUAAGUAUAUUUAAGGUAAAAAUAUAUGCCACAGCUUUGGCCAACUAAUAUUUUUUUAUUAAAGUUUUUAAUUUCAAUGUAUUAAAUUAUUCACUUUGAAAUUUAUGUCAAAUUUCCAGCAAAAGUUCACUGGCUUGUCACUACUGGCGCUCACGAACGUUUAAAUAUCCCCUCUACCUACGAGCUCACAGCGGAUAUACAAAUUUUCUGCGUAGUCAAUAGAUUCGAGUGUCUAAUAAACAGCGUAUAUUAGACCUUAGACCCAAUAAAUUGCUAUAAUAUUCAAAAUAUAGCUCUAGCUAUAAAUAGUUAUUAUUAUUCUUAUAUUUUUGAUAAAUUUUGAUUACAUCUUUCAUAAAACUCAAGAACAACAUUAUUUAACAAUUCAAUUUCAAUUUAAAAAUUCGUUACAUUUUCAUUAAGUUUUCACAGGUUUACAACGUUUUAAUGAAGGCCUAGAGAAUAAAUGAAUAAAACUUGCUCACAGUGUGAGAACUUAAUUGAUUCAUAAUUUCUGGGGAAAAAUAUUUUCCUAAUAUAUCUCAAUUACCCAUCGAAAUAAUAUAAAAAAUAUUGUAUAGAAAUUUUGGCUUAAGGUUUGUGACUGUUUGUAAAAUGCUAAGGUAUGAUAAAAAUUUAAAAAAAUGUUUUGACUGCUUUUUGUUACUAGUGUUGUUGAAUAAUUUCAACCACGAUGAUUUUUAAGAUCAAAAACUAACUCGAAAAUUAUAUUUCUUUUUAUUAUUAUUUAUUUGGGAUUUUUGUUAAGUUUUUUGUUAUAUUAUAUUUUUGUAAAAAUGUGAUUUAGUUUAAAACACAUCUUUUUAGGUGCGUUGUAUGAGAUUGUAAAACAUUCACAAGUUAUUGAUAAAGUUUUGAUUGUUUUAGAUUUUGUCGUAGAAAAUAUUUGAAAUUUUGUUUUAUUAAUAAAAUAAACGUAGGUGUCUGUUAAAAA
rnacentral:misc_RNA from 1 species